AAAAAAAUGUUUUGAGGGUUUAAGAUGGAUAAAAAUUUUAAGUUUGGAUUUAUUUUUCAAAAUUUGGAAGUUAAGGAUUUAAUACUUUAUUAUAUGAUAUUUAGUAUGGCUAAAUGUUAUAUUAUAUGGAAGAUGAGGGACUUACCUUGCAAAACCCCACAAUUUUGACCAUUUAAACCCAAUUGCCAUUACUUUAUAUAUAUUUCUCAUACCAAACCGGGCAGAGAAGCUGGAAACGGCAGAGGAGUGAAAGAAGAAAGAAAAGAAAAGAGAAAGGAAGAAAAAGAAGAAGAAAAAGGAAAAAGAGGAGGAGAAAAAGGAAGGAAAAUAGGUAGUUCAAGCUUGUUUCCAUUCUCCUUUCUCUAUAUUUUCUUCAAGAGGUAAAGGAAUGAUUUUAUGUUAAAUUUUUAGGGUUUUAACUUGUGGUAUCAAUUUCAGAUUUAAGAGGCUAAGAGUACAAAUUGGAGCUCAAGUUUGUUGAUUCUUUAAUCUCCAAUUUCAUUAAGGUAAGAAUACCAAUUUUUUUGGCAAACUCUAGAUUUUAAAUUGGAUACUUGAGUAAGGAUUAAUUGUGAACAUGAUUAUGGUGAUGAUAUAUUAACUUGAAAGAAUGGAUCUAUGGAAUAGGAUGUAAAUUAGAUUGGUGCAAGUGGGAAUUCAAGUUUCACUAGAUUAGAAUAAAGAAUUGUUUUUAUGUUUGGGAUGUAGGUAAUUAUGAUAAUUUAAAGAUUAGUGAUAUGCUAGAAGGUAGAAUUUGUUUCAAUUGUGAAGGAAACUAAAGAAUAUAUUCAAGUGCCGAAAAGUCAAGUUCUAAUAUUUCAUAAUUAAAUGUUAGUAUGGGAGUUUUUAAAUUAGUUAUUUUACAUCGUAUUUCAGGUGAUGACGUGAAAGUUUUACAAGGCUGGUCAAUUUGACCGGAUUGUUAUCCAUAGAUCUGUGAGUGGAGAAUCUACGUUUCCAAAAAAGAAUAUUUUCUUUUCUAUUUUAUAGAAGCAUAUUAAUUACAUGAGAUGCCUUAUUUUCGAGAAUUAGUAAAUGAGCAUGAUUGUUUUGAAAUUAUCAGAAAAUAAUUGAUGUGAUUAUUUUACUCCAGUGCACUGAGGGUUUACGGCCGUGUACUAGAGUCAUGUAUUUAACUCUUAUCCACUGAGGGGCUACGGCCGUGGAUAAAGGUAUCCAAUAUACAUUGAGGGGCUACAGCCGUGUGUAAGGGUAACUCUUAUCCACCGAGGGGCUACGGCCAUGGAUAAAGGUAACUAUUAUGCACUGAGGGACUACAGCCAUGUAUAAGGAUGAUUAUGUUGUUUCCAUCUUGUACACUGAGGGGCUACGGCCGUGUACAUAGUAUUGAUCAGACGGUUCAUGUGCAUAUGAUUUUAUAGCUUUCAGAUCAUUAGUAGAUGUUUACAUGUGGUAUAUUUUAAUGUGAAUUUAAGUAUAUAGAUUAUUAGCUUUCAGCUUACAUUUCCCCGUUGACAGUUUAGUUUAUGGAUUUCAGAUUAUAGGGUUCAGUUUAUUCAGUUCUAAGAAUAAAGCUUCUGGCUUAUAAUAUUGAGCAACAACAAUAUUCCAUAGAUUUUCGUGAAUGCUAGAUUAUUUAUAUUCAUUAUACUUUGCAAUUACUUGUCUAGAAUAAGAAAUAAGAAUUUUAUAAUGCAAUCAUGCUUAGUUUAAAAGUGUUGCUAGAUUUAAGCAUUUCCCAAACAUUUAAUAGAGCUAGAAUUUUCAGGAAGUAUGCAUAAAUGGAAAAGUAUACUUAUUUUCAAUCUAUCCACUCACUGAGUUAUAAUCCCAUAUUUUGUUACCCUUUUUCCUUAUUAGAUAGCAGCUGAGUUGAACAAUAUUAGAGCCUGUCGAUCUAUUGAAUUGAGCCACACGUCAUUAGUUGUAUGGUCUACUUUAUCAGAUUAGGUAGUACCUGUUUCUUAGGUUACGUGUAGUUUAUGUUAGAAAAGGCGUUAUGAGAUCACUAUAUGGUAUAUUUAGUACAUUUGAGGAUUGUUGAUAGUAAAGCAAGAAAAUUUCAAAUUGUCUGUAUUUUAUUUUGACUAAUUUGGAUUUUGAGGCAUUGGGGUACUUCUUUUAUAUUAUAUGUAUUGAGUUGAGGAACUUGAUUAUGAAUCAGGUGGUUUUAGUCCAUAUUUUAGAGGAGACUGUCAAAAUUCUUUAAAAUUUCCUCACAGUCAGACAAGUCAUGGUUGCCUUGGUGGUGGGUCAAGUACUCAGCUGAUAUCUACCAUCGACGCACGAUACGUGUUGGAUCCAUUAAGGUCAUUCGGGACGGGUCGUGUCAGCCAGUCUCGAUUACCAGUUGGAUUUUUUAGGAUGAGUAAUUUUCUUUUCUAUUUCUUUUCAACGUUCUACCCUUGAUCAUUUGGAGAUGCUGGGAAUAAGUUGGUGAAGGGUAUCUAUUAAGCUUCCAGCAAGUUUUCUUUCAUAUUCUUUCAUGAUUAAGCAAUUGUUGAUUGAUCUCCAUUUACAAAUUUUAGAUAUGAGACAAUUUGGCUUUAUUUGUUUACAUUCAACGCACACGUAUCUUGUCAAUCCUUAACGUUCGGCAUGUUAACAUUACCUUAAAAAUGACAAUUGACGGUAGUAUAUUGAAAAAUUAGAAGACUUUCUGAUAUAAUGAAUUCUCGUAUGUUUUGUGGUUUCGGAAUAAAUUGGCCAAUAGAUCAUUACUAGCUAAGGUUGAGA
rnacentral:lncRNA from 1 species